CACCCUGUGAGGGGGUAAGGCUCCCGGUAGACGACCGGGUUGAUAGGCCGGAGGUGGAAGCGCGGUAACGUGUGGAGCUGACCGGUACUAAUAGGCCGAGGACUUGACCUCA
rnacentral:rRNA from 1 species